GCAGUGGUGGUUCAGAGGUAGAAUUCGCACCUUCCGUGCAGGAAACUGUGGUUCAAUUCCUAGCCAAUGCA
rnacentral:tRNA from 1 species